rnacentral:tRNA from 1 species
GGGAGGAUGGCCGAGCGGUCUAAGGCGCUAGACUCAAGUGUACUUUCCACACUUACUUUGCUCACAAGCGAAGAAAGCAUUCUAGUAUCGAAAGAUGCGCGGGUUCGAAUCCCGCUCCUCUCA